CAGCCGCCGCGGGAAUACGUAGGGUGCGAGCGUUAAUCGGAAUUACUGGGCGUAAAGCGUGCGCAGGCGGUUCGUUAAGACAGAUGUGAAAUCCCCGGGCUUAACCUGGGAACUGCAUUUGUGACUGGCGAGCUAGAGUAUGGCAGAGGGGGGUAGAAUUCCACGUGCAGCAGUGAAAUGCGUAGAGAUGUGGAGGAAUACCGAUGGCGAAGGCAGCCCCCUGGGCCAAUACUGACGCUCAUGCACGAAAGCGUGGGGAGCAAACAGGAUUAGAUACCCGUGUAGUCCCUGUCUCUUAUAC
rnacentral:rRNA from 1 species